CUCAUAAACAUGACAAUUAAACCUAUCAGUAAAGUAGAACAAAUACCCACUUUUUAAGUCGGCCAACAAAACAUCAAAUACAAGCGUAUAAGAAUUUAUGAUGCGUCAUCCCACUAUGAUUUCCAAAUGAAAAUUUGAAAUUACUUAUUACAUUCUUGGCAAUUUACCUAAACGCAUCAAAUUUAUCCAUCGUGCAAGGAAAGGAAAGUAAAGUAGGCGUGGGCAGCAUAAAACAGGUAGUAAAAUCCAAUGCUGCGGCAUAUUCCCGCCAAAUGACGCAGCACCAAACACACUUACCCGCGCCACGUGGCUGGGCCCCGCCUCCUUUCACCACCGCCUCUCAACAAACCCGCUGCGCCAUCUAUCUUCUCUCGGAUUUCGCUCUCUCCGUCUCCGUCUCCGUCGUCCCCCAUUAUGUCCAACACCCUCGAUCCACUCUCUGCCAUCCGUUGCUCUAAGGAUGAUGAGUACAAACACAAAUCAGAUCCUGAGAACUUAGAGGAAAAUAUGAAAUCUGGAGUUCUCAGAAAAGCAAAAAAUGUAUCUAGUAAGUUCAGGAGCUCUCUAAGAAACAAGAUCAAGAGGAAAAAUGAUACUGGCAUUUGUAACAUUGAAGAUAUGCAUGAAAUCCAGGAUCACAAGGCUGUCGAUGCUUUUCGGCAGGCACUGGUAAUGGAUAGUUUACUUCCUACGAGAUUUGAUGAUUAUCAUGUUAUGUUGAGAUUUCUGAAAGCAAGGAAGUUCAACAUCAAUAAGGCAAAGAUCAUGUGGGCAAACAUGCUUGAAUGGAGAAAGAAUUUUGGUGCUGAUACAAUCAUGGAGGACUUUAACUUCAAAGAGUUGAAUGAAGUUCAACAAUAUUAUCCUCAUGGUUACCAUGGUGUUGACAAGGAUGGGCGACCUGUAUACAUAGAGAGGUUGGGUAUGAUUGAUGUUGAUAUGCUACUGCAGGUCACAAAUGUGGACAGAUUUGUAAAAUAUCAAGUCCAGGAGUUUGAGAAAAGUCUUGCCAUAAGAUUUCCUGCAUGUUCAGUUGCUGCAAACAAGCACAUAGAUACAAGUACAACAAUUUUGGAUGUUCAAGGAUUGAAUUUAAUGAGUCUGACUGGCCCUGUUGUCGAAUUUAUUAAAGUGGUUCAGAAGGUUGAUAACGACAAUUAUCCUGAAACACUUUCCCGAAUGUUUAUUAUCAACGCUGGUCCUGGCUUUAGGAUGAUAUGGAAUGUGGUCAAACCUAUACUUGAUCCUGAAACAACUUCAAAAAUUCAGGUGCUUGGAAGCAAUUACCAGAGAAAGUUGCUUGAAGUAAUUGAUGGAAGUGAGCUACCAGAGUUCUUUGGUGGUUGCUGUACCUGUGCAAUUGAAGGGGGCUGUUUGAGGUCUGAUAAAGGACCAUGGAAGGACCAAAAUUUAUUGAAGGUGAAAAGAUGACUCCAACUGCAGAAGUGCAUCAUGUGCAGACAGCAUCAAUUUCAGAUAAUGAUGGAACUUAGUUGUCAAGGUUGAUAUUUUGUUGCGUUGGAUGUAUUGUGCGGGCAAAUCAACAGUGAAGAACAACCGGAUGAACUAUGCUGGAUUAUCCGAGGGUGCUUGCCGAUCACUUGGACGCAAGUAGACAUGUUGAUAAUAAAUGGUUGGGAACUUCCCCUGAAUUGUUAAGAAUGAGGGAAUGCAUGCGCCAUUAUUGCAAUUAGGGAUCUAUUUAAUCUUUGUGCAACUAGCAUUUGUCAAUGAUUACCAUAAAAAAUAUGAUUCAGAUUGUAUGAUUCACUGAUGCGGCGAAAUGUUUAUGAUGCCUUUGCCUUGCAUUUUAUGUGAGAUAAGAUCCUUUAACUUUUGCAUCAA